UCUCAGACAGAAAGCUUAACCAUCAUAAGUCUUAUUUCUAAAAUAAUCUGUAAUUGUAUCUUAAAACAAUUAAACCAUUGAAUAAAUAAAUGAAUUGUUCUAAACUUGGUAAUAAAAAAGCAUGUAUCAUCCUGAACGUGCAUUUUCCCCCAGACUAGUAUUAUAUAUUUUCCUCCUCUGAGAUAUCUCCAUGAAGUGAGCAAGUACUAAACGUUAGAAGUAUGGUUGCUUAUGAUUCUUCAAUUAAAAUGAUAUAAUCAUACAUUAAAAGCAGAAAGGAUGGAUAUUUUACUAUAUUUUUGUCUGAUGAAACAACAUAAAAUACCUUUGAGGAUGGAGGAUGAUGUAAGUUAUGGUCAAGGUAAAAGGUAUGUGUAUUUUACAACUUUUUUCAUUAAGAAUGCUUAUUCCAUUUCAGGCCAAUAUUUUGGCUAUUUUAUGUUAAUUUUAAGUGGAAUAGGCAAGUACACCACUAACAGUGGCCGAAUGGUUAUGGUCCUUGACUUCAAACCAUUUGCCCCUCACCACUGUGGGCUCGAAUCCUGACAGGGACUUUGGAUUUUUUCAUGUGAGGAAGCUAUUCAGCUGGCUUGCGGAACUUCGGUGGUUCUACUCAGUUCAUGCUUGAAAUAAUGAAUGGCAGGGCACAUGAGGUUCUGCCAUGAUAAUUAUGCAUACCUGAAACACUCUAGUUGGAGGUGUUUCACCAAUCAGACAGUAAAGUUGACAUGUACUUCAUGAAAGUCAGGAUUUUGUCUUUUUGUUCUAUAAAUUCACAGAUGAUGGAAUUAGUGGUAAAUAUCAAAAUAAUCAAUGGACAACAUAAUCCAUAAAAUAUACAUUACAGAUAACCAUCAGACAGUUAAACAAGAAAGCUUUUAAAGAUUGCAGCAUCUGACAGACAGUUUUAACAAAUAUACAUAAAUGACAGAAAAUGUUCAUUUAUUUCACUUGUUCUUUUGCUCAACUUUGUACCUUGUUGUUUUCAGUUUUAAGAUAUGUUGAUUCUGAGAAUGUGCCUGUCAAGAAGGAGAAACAAGAUUUCACAAUGAUGUAGAAAGUCUGUCAUUUGACUAACAAUAAGAUAACACGAUUAAUGAUGGAUGAAGUUGGCAACUCUAAUUCCCAAGACAUACUGAUGGCUGGAAUAAAUUGAAUCAAAAGUUGCAAGAUGUUAAAAUGUUGCUGAUCAAGUAAGUUCAC